AGAACGACUCUCGGCAACGGAUAUCUCGGCUCUCGCAUCGAUGAAGAACGUAGCGAAAUGCGAUACUUGGUGUGAAUUGCAGAAUCUCGUGAACCAUCGAGUCUUUGAACGCAAGUUGCGCCCGAAGCCUUCUGGCCGAGGGCACGUCUGUCUGGGCGUCA
rnacentral:rRNA from 1 species